AUUAAUUUUAAAUCAAUUUUAAAAUUAAUUUUAAAUUAAUUAAUUAAUCUAACUUAAUUAAUUAAUAUAUCUAUCAAUUUCAAUUAAUUAAUCUGGCUGAAUUAAUUAAUAUAUCUACCAAUUUCAUUUCCAAAACCGACGGUUCCUCUUAUUCUUCCUCUUCUUCUUUCACUUUCAGUUUCUUUCCCUUCCCAUUACCCACUCUUCCAUCUUCUCAAUCAACCCAAUGGUUUCAAAAUUUCACUUUCUCUCUCUAAACCGCCCAACUCUCCUUUCUCUCUCUCCAAACCCUUCAAUACCUCUUCCUCUUCCGUUCCUUUUUUGAUUAAAUUCAAUCGUGUCUUCAUCUCUUCUUCACUUGAUAGCACUGCAGAUGCAGAGAUCUCUCUCUGAACCCCCCAACUUCUCAUCUGUCCCGUCUCCGCUCGAGGCCGCCGACGGCGCCGCCUUGGAGACCCUUCGGGAAGCUGAGGAUCGGUUGAGGGAGGCCGUAGAGGAACUGGAGCUCCGGCAGCGGCGCACACAGUAUCGUCACCCGCCCUGCGAUCACGCUGUUGAUUCAUGGUUGCUUAUCCUCCGCCGCCUCCCGUCGCUUGGCCUCAUCGUCACCAACAGCACCGGCGUCGACCACUAAGGCCUUAGUGGGGAAGCAGAUGCAGAGGUUUUUUCAACAGUGCAGCAGGUUUGUGAAUUCAUUUCUCCGAUUUAACAACAUAUUUUCAUGUUGUUAAUAAUUUUUGUUUAUGGAUUAUUGUCUAUUUCCUCUCUUUAAUGUAGCAUCAAUUUGUCAUAUGGAUUUCGAAUAAUGGGUUGUUUUUCAUAUGAUGUUUUGUACCUGAUUUAAUUGAGUAUUGCCCCCAAUUUUGUUCAUCACAUAAUGAUUUUUCUUGCACUCCCUUUAGAAGAGUCUAAAUGGAACAUAUAUUUCAGUAAGCAUUUCCAAACAAAACCCAAACUCAAAUCCAGAUUUUUUUGAUUCAUUUAUGUUUUUAUUUUACAUAUAAAAAUGGCUGAAUUUGUAUUUUUUAUAUACAUGGGUCUGUUGUUCUUUGAUAUUUUAGAUGUUUAUAUUUUUUUGAAUUAGACCAUUUUCUCUUUUAUUGGGUGAUCUGAAUUUGAAUGCUAAAACAAAUUGUUUCUGGGUAAAAUUUAGUUGGUUAUAUAUAUUUUUGUCAUUAAUCCAAGUCUGAAAAUUUAUAGACCUUAACUAAUUUAUGACUGGAUUAUUGAGGUGAUUUUUUAAUUUUGUGGCAUUUUGUUACUGAUUUGCUUAAGUUGCUAAUUUUGAUUUGAGCACAUCUAUCACUUGGGAAAACCCAUUUCAAGUAUUAAAAUAUCUUAGCUCAAGGUAACACCGCUUCUACUAAUCUCGAGGCACAAAUAAAGGGUAUAACCUAUUGGUAAUAGAGGAAGAAAGAGAGAUGGUGCUGGGUGCAGUUAUCUACAUACAAUCUUAAUAUACCUAUGAAGGGCUAUUAGUAUUUUCCUCUUACCAUGGAGGUUUCCACAUUUCUGAUAAGGUGAUGUACAAAUUAGCAAUCCCUUUAAUCUACUUCUUCGCAUAUUUUCAUUCUAAAUAACAUUCAUUAAGGUUAACUAACAAAUUGAGUACAAGACCAAUUUUUAUUAAAAAAAAUAUGUGGAGUAAAUACCACAGGUAGAGUAACUACUUAGCUUACAUACAAGGAAAAACAUUCAUAUUUACUAAACUCUCAAUUGUUAUCUCAAAACUAGGAAUAAAUUAUAACACUAAACCAAAGACAUGGCACCAUAACAGAAAUCCAACUGAUCAUUUAGAGAGGGAGAAAAAUCAAAUGCACCCAUCUAUCUACAAAAGUUACCUGAAAUGAUAGUGGCCAAGCCCGUGCUUAAAACCCCACUUAAAUUCCCCAACAUACCGGCUGCCAUCCUCACAAGUAUGAAUACCACAUCCAUGACUCUGCCCAUUGGCCCAUUCGCCAGCGUAAAAAUCCCCUGUAAUUUGUAAGUUUUUCAAUAAAAUUUUUAAUAUUUGUUUUGCUAAUGUUAAUGAAUCAUUUUUUAUACAUGUUAUCCUCUUAGAGAAAAUUUUACAUGUUAAUUGUAGAUAUCGAUUCAUACUAUUUCGAAAAAGAAAAAAAACAAUAUGGAUUCAUAUUAUAUACGUGAUGUGUUCCCAGGUGCAUAUUAUAUACUUACUCAAAUACCACAAGGAAGAUAUAAGUUGACCUGUUAUUUUUUAUUCUAGAUAAUUGCAAACUACAUGGUAUUGCUAUCUUCGAAUUUUAUUUUUUUAACUUUAUCACGAACCUCAAUUUUAGCCAUUAUUUUCUCUCAUGUAUUUGCAAAACUAUAUAUGUUGGUUUCUCAAUUUUAACUUUGUCUUUGUGUAAUGCAGAAUUUGAAUUUAUUGAAAGAUAUAGGAUCUCAAUUAUUUGUCUGCAAUAUGUGAAAGGAAGAGUUAGUUUUACGGAAACAAGUGUUUUUUUUAUUACUUAAAGGCAGCUUCUUGAAAUAGAAUUUGGGCUGCAGGGAGAUAUACUGACUCAAUGUGUCCAUAAUAUAUGAUUAUGUGCCAAUACUAUCUACAAUGAAUUUAAAAUUUAUAGAUUUGUUCUUUGUGACUUCAGUUUCUUAUGAUGCUUCUUGCUUGGCUCAAAACAUUAUGCAGAAGGAAACAUGCAUUUGUAAGGGUUUUUUUUAUAUGUUACAUAAUGGUGAAAGCAAGGACUUGCAGCCUUGCACUCUUUAAAUAUUGACAUGUUUCUGUUUCACCAACAAUUUAUUCACACUUCAAUUAUAUUAGUCACAGGGAUAUCAAAUGCCAUUUCCUUAAGAUAGUCCUGAAUAUUCAUUUUAGUUGCUGAAUAUGGCCUUAUGUAUUUUCCAUGGAUUACAGGUGGAUGGGAUGAAUUGCCUGAUUUUUGAACUUGCUGAUAUAGCAGCACAGGAAAGAGCCAUGCUUGAUGAAUAUAUGUUCUAUUAGCAACUACAGCGGCUAUGCAGGUGAGAACAAUAACAAAGAUGCUUCAAGUCAUGUUGAAAAUCACAUUUCAUUUGUUUUAAUAAUUUUGUCCUCAUAUUGCUUUCUGAGUUGACCUUGCUCAUAAACUGAGAACAUCAAAAAUGAUCAUGACUUAUGUUCUUUAUCAUCUCUCUUUCUGUGCAGUGUUACAAGCUUUAGUGUUACAAGUGCAGAUAUGGAAUAUAGCAUUUCCAGGAAAAACCAAAGAAUUUUGCGUUCAAAAUUUGUAUUUCUGAAUUAUGUUUCUUAUCAGCAGUAAAAUAAUUUCGUAUGUUUAACAAAUUUGAACUUGAAGUAAUAAUCUCAUGUUUUUUAAUACAAGAACUUCAUCUAGGUUAUGUUUGCUCCCCUUUCUCAGGAACCCAAUGUUGAGUGGACAUGGAAGGAAUUUAGAUAGACAAUGUUGUUGAAGAGUGACUUUUUAACCGGCGUUACUCCUUCCUACCAAUAAUAAAAACCAAUCUGAAAAAGCUUUCACUGUUUA
rnacentral:lncRNA from 1 species